rnacentral:rRNA from 1 species
UACAGAAGGUGCAAGCGUUGUUCGGAAUUAUUGGGCGUAAAGCGCGUGUAGGCGGCUUUGCAAGUCGGAUGUGAAAGCCCUCGGCUCAACCGAGGAAGUGCGUUCGAAACUGCAGAGCUUGAGUGCCGGAGAGGGUGGCGGAAUUCCCCAAGUAGAGGUGAAAUUCGUCAGAUAUGGGGAGGAACACCGGUGGCGAAGGCAGC